rnacentral:lncRNA from 12 species
AUGUUUAUUGUCCCCUCUCGCUCGGUCUGGACUCUGCAGGUAGGGCGGGCUCUUUUUCUGAGUGAGAACACCGUGAGGCUCGGGAAUUUUAUGUUGACGGAGGUCACAGGAGAUUCCAGGUGGAACAGGCUUGCCCUCCCCUCCCCUCUCCUGGUGCAGAGGCCUGUGCUUGGGGCUGCCUUUCCCCUAACCGGUCUCCAUCUGGCUUCCCACUCAAGCCAGGCCCGCGACCAAGCUGCACUUGCUCGCACUUGCCCGUGGCCCCUGUGGGUGUUUCCCAGACGGUGGUACUUGCCCUCGGUGCUCCUCUCCUGCCACAAUCCCAGAGAGCUCCGGGCAGUGUCCUCCAGGGCCACUGUAGCUGUUUUCCUGUCUUUGGAGAGUCAAGAGGGAGGACAGGACCCAAUGGAAUGGGGCCAUCCGAGCAGGUAGCCCACCUUUCUGGAGAACACAGGUCUUGCCUCCUGAGUGGGAUAAAGGGUAGCCCCCCCCCCCCCCCCCCCAGCAGCCAACCCUAUGCUCAUUAGGCUCUGCUGGGCUCAGCCAAAUUAGGCUUCCCUUGGUCAGGGGCUCAAUGGAGAUCCUGUUCCCCCACUGCUCACAUCUGUGCUUCUCUGCCCAUUUUCCAAAUGUGCUGGUUUGGUUCACACAUACGUGCACACAAAAUCAAUAUAAUGCAAAAGACUCAUGACCCCUGGAACACAGGGAUCAGGGCUGGGGGUUUGGGGGAGGUGAAGGAAGCCCAUGCCUUCUCUGCCCUCGUUCCCAGGUCUACCAGCAUGGUGCAUGCUAGGUUGCCCGGGGACCAUGCAGCUGCUUAGCACCCAGCCCUCCACGGCACCUCCUCGGGUCAGGUCAGUAUUUGAGACUCGGGCCCCUCAGGGUCUGAUUGAUUGGCCAAGCCAAGUCCCAACUGUGAGGAGUGGUGGUUUCAGAAUCAUCUAAACCAGAGUACCUUCUUGUGGCUGCCUCAGUGGGUUAGAAACAAAGCGCUAGAGCUGUGUGUGUAAUUUAUAAAAUAGCCUUUAUUUAUUCUAAGGAACACAGUCAAGUGGUAGUUUAAAAAAAAAACAAAAAACAACCCAACACUUUUUAAAAGAUAGUGUUGUGACCUGGCUCUGAGCCCCGUGUGAGCAGGACAGGGGCAGAAGCCACCUGCUGUGGCUUGUCCGGUUCUCCCCCGCCGUGGCAGAGGUUGGACAGCACUGGCAGCUCUCUAUCCAGUUGCUUAUCAUAAAUAAUCAGUUUUGAGGCUCAUGAAGAACAGAAGAAACAUUUAUGCUGCUGGUAUUUGAUCAAAAGCUUCCUUACAACAUAGUCAUUCCGGAAGUAUAAAAAUGUCUUAAAGGAAUCGAUAAUUUGUGCCGUUCAUGGGGACUAUAUAUAUUAGAAUUUUAGCAUUACUAUGGGAGCACAGUAUAUCUCUACAGAUUCAGAGAUUUCCCAAUUUAUGUAACAUCUACUUCCCUUUUUUUACUUAACUACUAAAUAGGAGUAACAUUCAGUUAAGGUGGUUACUCUUUUUGUUUUUCUUUUCCAGCACAAUGGUUUAGUUUGCAAAAAAGAUCAUUUGCCUGAAAAUGUUAGGGAAUCUCCAGCAACCAUCCUGGCUAUCAUACCAGAAAAAUCCAAAAAUGCACGCAGCACUGAGCUGUUUUCACAAGACUUCCUUUCUAAUAAACACAACGCUUUCUCCCCCUCUCA